UCCCUCAGGUUUCCUCAUCGUGUCAAGACAAAGUCUUGAUCUGCCGAUUCUAGUCCCACAAGACUCUCCUUUCAUUGAUUAUCAAAGUUUAAUUGAUGGGUUUUAUUCCGAUUAAGGUGAUGUAGUGUUAUGUUUUUGUCUCGUGUUGAUGUUAGUUUUAAGCUCCUGUUUUGACUCUGGGUUGAAGUUUUAUCAUGUUGAUAAUAAACUGGAUAUGGA
rnacentral:lncRNA from 1 species